rnacentral:rRNA from 1 species
GAUGAACGCUGGCGGCGUGCCUAAUACAUGCAAGUCGAGCGAACAGACGAGGAGCUUGCUCCUCCGACGUUAGCGGCGGACGGGUGAGUAACACGUGGAUAACCUACCUAUAAGACUGGGAUAAUUUCGGGAAACCGGAGCUAAUACCGGAUAAUAUAUUGAACCGCAUGGUUCAAUAGUGAAAGACGGUUUUGCUGUCACUUAUAGAUGGAUCCGCGCCGCAUUAGCUAGUUGGUAAGGUAACGGCUUACCAAGGCGACGAUGCGUAGCCGACCUGAGAGGGUGAUCGGCCACACUGGAACUGAGACACGGUCCAGACUCCUACGGGAGGCAGCAGUAGGGAAUCUUCCGCAAUGGGCGAAAGCCUGACGGAGCAACGCCGCGUGAGUGAUGAAGGUCUUCGGAUCGUAAAACUCUGUUAUUAGGAAAGAACAGAUGUGUAAGUAACUAUGCACGUCUUGACGGUACCUAAUCAGAAAGCCACGGCUAACUACGUG